GACGAACCGUGCAAACGUUAUUCGGAAUCACUGGGCUUAAAGGGCGCGUAGACGGGCCGCCAGGUCCGGGGUGAAAGCCUCCAGCUCAACUGGAGAAGUGCCUUGGAUACCGGCGGCCUCGAGGGAGGUAGGGGCGUGCGGAACUUCGGGUGGAGCGGUGAAAUGCGUAGAUAUCCGAAGGAACACCGGUGGCGAAAGCGGCGCGCUGGAUCUCUUCUGACGCUGAGGCGCGAAAGCCAGGGGAGCAAACGGG
rnacentral:rRNA from 1 species